rnacentral:lncRNA from 1 species
CAUGCUUUUGAUCUGAUGUGGGAGCACCUUGAAGGUCGGGUGCCCUGACACAGAAGUGCUACAGUAGAGGGUUCUGAAGAGAGGCACCCAGGGACAGGUCAUGCUGCUGGGAUAUGUGAGCUACACGAGACACGUUCUGGACGUGGAGUUCUGGUCAUGGGGUGCUGGGGCUGCUGGUGUGGGCCUUGAUUGCUGACACCCCAUACCACCUGUAUCCUGCCUACGGCUGGGUUAUGUUUGUAGCUGUCUUCCUCUGGCUGGUAACAAUUGUCUUCUUCAUCAUCUACCUGUUUCAACUGCACAUGAAGUUGUAUAUGGUGCCCUGGCCGUUGGUGUUACUGGUCUUCUUUGUUGCUGCCACCGUCCUCUAUAUCACCGCC